GAUGAGCGCUGGCGGCGUGCCUAAUACAUGCAAGUAGAACGCUGAAGGAGGAGCUUGCUCUUCUGGAUGAGUUGCGAACGGGUGAGUAACGCGUAGGUAACCUGCCUGGUAGCGGGGGAUAACUAUUGGAAACGAUAGCUAAUACCGCAUGACAACAGUUAUUGCAUGAUAACUGUUUAAAAGGGGCAACUGCUCCACCACCAGAUGGACCUGCGUUGUAUUAGCUAGUUGGUGAGGUAACGGCUCACCAAGGCGACGAUACAUAGCCGACCUGAGAGGGUGAUCGGCCACACUGGGACUGAGACACGGCCCAGACUCCUACGGGAGGCAGCAGUAGGGAAUCUUCGGCAAUGGACGGAAGUCUGACCGAGCAACGCCGCGUGAGUGAAGAAGGUUUUCGGAUCGUAAAGCUCUGUUGUAAGAGAAGAACGAGUGUGAGAGUGGAAAGUUCACACUGUGACGGUAUCUUACCAGAAAGGGACGGCUAACUACGUG
rnacentral:rRNA from 1 species